CAUCGUUUAACUUUUCGUCAACGUUCCUCUUUUCAUCAGCUUCUGUUAUCGUUAUACUUUGGCAUAGAAAUGUCAUUUAAACUACGAAAACAAUUCGGAUAAUCUUCUAUUAUCACUAAAUUGUAGUCAUACUUGUCUUCUUUCUAAUGAUGUGUCUGGCUAAGCCCUCAGACAUAUACUUUAGUUGCUAUCGACCUCAAAGAUCAGAUAGAUCCUGAAUUUCCCCAAUAGACUCUGAUGAUAACUUUCGGCAGACGUUUGGGAUAAACAGAACAGAACAGAAAGAGACACAUUUUGAAAUCGCAACUGUGGCCACAAUUUUUGGUCCUCAAACAUGAAAUUCACACCAGUUGCUCAUUAAAGACAGACUUUUGCUCAACGCACACUUGCUCACUUACUAAAUGAUAAAUGUUUGUUUUUAGUUCCCAGCAGUCAGUCAGCAGGAGGAGCAGCACACGAUGGAACAGCAGGAGGUUCUGCAGUUCCCAGCAGUCAGUCAGCAGGAGGAGCAGCACAUGACGGAACAACAGGAAGCUCUGCAGGUAAACCAAAAUAACAAAGGUUUGUUAGAGUAAUAACACACAGCAUGUCAAGAGCCAGUGAUCAGAAAGUCUGUCAUCAGACUGUUUGCAAUCAGACUGUCUGCGAUCAGACUGAUCAAUGCACAUUUGUUCACUAGCUAAAUGACAAAUGUUUGUAUUCAGUUCCCAGCAGUCAGUCAGCAGGAGGAGCAGCACAUGACGGAACAGCAGGAAGCUCUGCAGUUCUUGCAGAAGCAGAACCUUCUGGUGUUUCAACUGGUCUGUCCCCACCUACAGGUAAACAUUUAAAAUGAAACAGCAACUAUAAUAAUCGGUGCAUAGUUUUUUUUCCAAUAUGUCUUUUCGUGUUUAAGGAACCAACCAUCCAGUUGCUUCUUCUGUGACAGAAGCUAACGGUAAAAUUAAAUUUCAGUUAUUAGUGCCUUCUGCUCUUUUCUACUUUGGCCUUGGUUUAGUUUCUUAUCGUCUAGACAAA
rnacentral:lncRNA from 1 species